rnacentral:rRNA from 1 species
CGGAGGGUGCAAGCGUUAUCCGGAUUCACUGGGUUUAAAGGGUGCGUAGGUGGGCAGGUAAGUCAGUGGUGAAAUCUCUGGGCUUAACCCAGAAACUGCCGUUGAUACUAUCUGUCUUGAAUGUAGUGGAGGUGAGCGGAAUAUGUCAUGUAGCGGUGAAAUGCUUAGAUAUGACAUAGAACACCCAUUGCGAAGGCAGCUCGCUACACUAUUAUUGACACUGAGGCACGAAAGCGUGGGGAUCAAACAGGAUUAGAUACCCUGGUAGUCCACGCCCUAAACGAUGAUUACUCGACAUCGGCGAUACACAGUCGGUGUCUGAGCGAAAGCAUUAAGUAAUCCACCUGGGAAGUACGACCGCAAGGUUG